CCUGGGAAGGGAGACUUCCAGAGGUGGGCGGACUGAGACUGCUCCUUGGAGCAGUACACCUGACUGUCCCAGCCAUUGGAGAGAGCCCAGUGCUGGUAGCCUUCGACCGGGAUGAGCGCGUCGUGACGCGGCUCCGGGUGCCCGCUGAUCCCGGGCACCACCGACACGUCCAGUGCUUCCACCUCCCUCCCUACAUUCCCUCUACGCAUGCGGAGACACUUCAUUAAGAAAUCCGCCGGCUCCCGCUCUCCACCUCUCAGCACCCCUCCCGCGCCCACGUGACCCGCUCUGCGCAUGUGAUGCUCCGGCCAGGUCUCCUGGGGUUCCCGCCCCUCGAGGUGGGGCGGGGCGAAAGGAAAAAGGUCUCUGCUGAUUGGAUCUCAGCCACUUUCCCCAAAACUCCAGAUGUCUGAAAAGGACGCUCUCCUUUACCUCGCUGGAUUUUUCUCAAACGGAGAGGGGUGUGACAACCCCCAAAUACAGAAUUCAUCACCUGGGGCAGGGGAUCGAGAGGCAAUGGAAUAUA